UGUGUGAUAGCUGGGUCAAAUGGUGAUUCCAUUCCAAUUUUUCUAAGUAAUCUCCAUACUGUUUUUCAGAGUGGUUGCACCAAUUUGCAGUCCUACCAGCAAU
rnacentral:pre_miRNA from 1 species